UCUCGAUCUCCUGACCUCAUGAUCCACCCGCCUCGGCCUCCCAAAGUGCUGGGAUUACAGGCGUGAGCCACCGCGCCCGGCCCUGUUACAGUUCUUAAAGAUGGUGUGUCCGGAGUUUGUUCCUUCAGAUGUUCAGAUGUGUCUGGAGUUUUUUCCUUCUGGUGGGUUCGUGGUCUUGCUGACUUCAGGAGUGAAGCUGCAGACCUUCGCAGUGAGUGUUACAGCUCUUAAAGGUGGCACAUCCAGAGUUGUUCAUUCCUCCUGGUGGGUUCGUGGUCUCGCUGACCUCAGGAGUGAAGCUGCAGACCUUUGCAAUGAGUGUUACAGCUCGUAAAGGUGGCGUGUCCAAUGUUGUUUGUUCCUCCCAGUGGGUUUGUGGUCUCGCUGGCUUCAGGAGUGAAGCUGCAGACCUUUGUGGUGAGUGUUAUAGCUCAUAAAGGUAGUGUGGACCCAAAGAGUGAGCAGCAGCAAGAUUUAUUGCGAAGAGCAAAAGAAUAAAGCUUCUACAGCAUGGAAGAGGACCCGCGGGUUGCCGCUGCUGGCUUGGGUGGCCAGCUUUUAUUCUAUUUGGCCCUGCCCACAUCCUGCUGAUUGGUCCAUUAUACAGAGCACUGAUUGGUCCAUUUUACAGAGCACUGAUUGGUCCAUUUUACAGAGCACUGAUUGGUCCAUUUUUACAGAGUGCUGAUUGGUGAGUUUACAAACCUAUAGCUAGACACAGAGUGCUGAUUGGUGCAUUUACAAUCCUUUAGCUAGACAGAAAAGUUUUCCAAGUCCCCAGCCAAUUAGCUAGACACAGAGCGCUGAUUGGUGCGUUUACUAACCUUUAGGGAGACACAGAGCGCUGAUUGGUGCAUUUUUACAGAGUGCUGAUUGGUGCGUUUACAAACCUUUAGCUAGACACAGAGCGCUGAUUGGUGUGUUGGCAGUCCUUUAGCCGGACAGAAAAGUUCCCCAAGUCCCCACUGGACCCAGAAGCCCAGCCGGCUUCACUUUUCACUGCUACUUAUCCCUGGCUGCUGCAUAAACAACCCCCACACCUUCCCUGGGAUCUUGACAACCUUGUGAAGCCACAGUGAUGGUCCCUGCACCCACUCCCACGCCCUUGUCCAGCUCUAGAGGCCUCCUGUAGCCCAACCCACAAGCCACAAAAUGAGGACCAUCAUGGCGGUGCCGGAAAUCUCACCCCUCAAUGCCCACCUGGAAUCGGAAGUCUCAAAACCUGUGUAGCAUAUCACAUGCAGCUGGGUCGUUUCCUGGCUAGGUUACCCUGUCAGGAUCUGUGACUUUUCUGUCCUUUCUGCCACAUUCCCUCACUCUAGUAGGAGUUUUCUGCCAGCUGUCCCUUGUGAGUCCCAGUGGGCACUGACAUGGUCAUUGAUUGUGGGGUCACUGAGCAUUGACUUUGUGAAGUUCAGUUCUUUCCAGCUAUAUACCUGCAUAGGUGAUCUUCACCUACGGUGAUUUGUCAUGGGGUGGAUCACCUUGACGUGGGCUGCCUUCUCACAAACCACUUGAUGAGAGCUGUAUAGGAUCACUGCCACCACCCCCGCCAUGUGAUCACCUAACUAGAACAAAUGAAGAGACCUGGCUGGUGGACAGGGUGGCUUGAAUUAGGCCAUGGACAGAGAGGCCCCAUGGUGCACCAGUUCUGUUGAGUGGAAGACAGCUGUGGCAGAGCUGUUGGCAGUGCCCUGGUGGCUCACCUGGUACCUGAGUUGUGCCCUCUGUUGUCCUGGCACCAGGAUGUAUAGCUGUGCCUUUUAAAAAAAAUUUUCCUGACCUUCUUCUGACACUCUAUCCUACUUUGCCCUGACUCCUGUUCCCUGGAUGGCUUCCUCUCUGUCUUCCAAGAUUCACUCUUUCCCCUUCUCCCGUCCUCCCCUCCAGUGGCCAGGUCUUCUACCAUUGGCCUCCCUUUAAUGUGUCUUGAACGGAUAAUGUAUCUUUAAAUAGUUGUUAUCUGCACAUGGUGGCUCAUAACUACAGUCCCAACUACUUGGGAUGCUGAGGCAGGAGGAGCGCUUGAGACCAGGAGUUUGAGUCCAGCUUGGGCAACAUAACGAGAUCCUAUCUCUAAAAUAAAUAAAUAAAUACAUAGAUACCUAAAUAGUUUUUGAAAACCUCUUCUUCCGUGAGACUGGCUUGUUCCAUUUGAGGAGUAUGGGCAUAGGUGUCAAUGGUUCAAGACCUGGACUUCGCUCACUGCAUGGUACUGACCUGUCACCAGACACUAGGGCCCUGCAGCUCCACAUUUUGCAGAACCUACAGAGAACUGACACUGAAGAGAUAGCUGAUAAAUACACAGCAUAUGGAAAGGUGUUUGAGGGGAAGCAAGCCUUUUCUCCUACCAAAAAACUUCACAGUGGAAAAAAUUGCAAGUGUAUUAUGAGCAUGGGAAGGCCUUCACUUUUGUCUUCAUCCUGAGAAAGCAGGAGUACAUGCACAUCUUCAAAGGCCCUUACAAGUAUAGUAACAUGGGGAAUCCUCCAGCCAGAACUCUACCUCCUUUGAGCACCAAUAUGUUCACCCCAGAGAAAGUCCCCAUAAGCGCAAGGAGUGUGGUCCAGCCAUGAGCAAAAUUUUGCAAAACUCUCCUCUGUAUCAAAAUGGUCAUACCCUAAUGAAGGACUCCUAAGUUCAGGGAAUGUGGGGCACUGCCAGCUGUCCUGGUGGCUUCCCUGGUACCUGACUUGAGGUUCAUACAUGUUAUAUUCAGAGUUCUGCUUUCAUUAGCAAAAACAAAUUAACACCGGAAAAUGGUUGUACAAAUGCAAUAACUACAUGAAAGCUUUCAGUGAAAUAUGAAACCUCAUCCUGCAGAAUUCUCAUCAGAGAGGCCCAGUGCAUGCAGCUAAUGUUGGAAAGCCUAUUCUCAAUUUUAAUCCUAUUUAGCACCAGCAAUUUACAGCAUUGUGAGUGUAGCAUGUAGGAGAGCAAAAAAUUGCAGCUCCUGCCUUGAUGUGCACAAAGUGAUUCACACUGGAAAAACCCUCUAUGAGUGCAGCCAGCAUGGGAGAGCAUCGGCCACAGCUCCUGCCUUGCUUGGCACCAGAAACUUCACCCUGGAGAAAAGCCUUUUGAUUAUAGUAAAUGUAGGAAAGUCUUCACCUCCCUUAUUUAGUAUAAAAGAAUUCACACUGGCCAGGUGUGGUGGCUCAUGCCUGUAAUCCCAGCACUUUGGGAGGCUAAGGCAGGGGGAUCACCUGAGGUCAGGAGUUUGAGACCAACCUGGCUAACAUGGCAAACCCCCUCUUUACAAAAAAUACAAAAAUCAGCUGGGCAUGGUAACGCCCAUCUGUAAUCCCAGCUACACCAGAGGCUGAGGCAGGAGAAUUGCUUGACCUCAGGGGGCAGAGGUUGCAGUGAGCUGAGUUAGAGCCACUGCACCCCAGACUGGGUGACAGAGCAAGACCCUGUCUCCCUCACCAAAAACAAACAAACAAACAAACAAAAAACACAGCUGGGUGCAGUGGCUCACGCCUGUAAUCCCAG
rnacentral:lncRNA from 1 species